GUCUUGGAUUUGGAGGCAUCGGGAAAACAAAAAUGUUUUGCAGAUGCAAUUACCUGCCUUCAAGGUCACCUAGCUUGAUCUUGCUCUACAGCUCAGCUCUGGAAUGCUCUAAAACACAUCUUGGCUAAGCGUUUAUUCUUGGUUAUGACUGUUCAUCUAGCUCUCUCUUGCACCAAGCUAUCUCAAAUUCGCCACCAACAAUCUGAGGGCUUGCCUGUAUCGCCUGAGCCCAGGGCGACUCGGGCAGGCGACCAAGUCCGCCGGCCACUACACUGCCUAGCUGCCUCCCUCCACCUUGUCGCUGCCUGAGCGGCUCGCCGGCAAUCCGAGCGGCUACAAGGACAGCGGCGGCGAGGCUUCUUUCGACGGUGGCCGCCACCCUGAAGGGUAGGGGUGGUGCGGA
rnacentral:lncRNA from 1 species